CCGGGAACUUGGGCAGCCGCCCGCAGGCCUCUUCUGCGCCUGUGCGGAGCCGGCUCAGCCCGGGGUUUCCCGGCUCUUCCUGGUCCGGGUCCUGCAGCCGGGGAGGCCCUCGUGACUGCGCUCGCCAGGCUCCACUGCGAAUUGGAAGAGAAGCGGGUGCACCCACAAGUUAGAGGAAAGGCUGGCGGGGAGCUCCGAGGCCUCGGGAGCAGAAGGGGAGGAGAGGCCGGGCGGAGCCUUGGUCCGCGGAGCGAGGACGUGCGCCUUCCCCGCAUCCCUCCGGAGCGAGGCCCCGAAGCGGGUUUCCGAAGGUCAGGGAGAAAAGCAGCGAGGGGCGGGCAGAGCCCCUGACCUGCAGGCGUCGGAGCGGGCUCUCCCUGCAGACUUUCUUGCCUGAAGAAGGUGUUCUGUGAACGUGAAAGGAGUCUAUUAAUGAGCUGCCUUCUCUGUUGUGCACUGGAAUUUACUGCCCGACGUGGAAAUGCCACCUUCAUCAUACUCCAAAUUCGCACACAAACUCUUGGCUUGGUACCUGUUCUUCUAAGGAGCCACAGCAAGGAGACGUGGAGACACCGGCAGUCGCGAACUUGAUGGAUUACAGCGGGAGAACCUAGGGAACCGGUCCUUUGCGGCUCCUUCUGCGCAUGUGCAGUUCUUCCUCCUUGUUCGCCAGCUCCCCUGUCUCCAGCUGCGCUGCAGGUAAUCCUGGAGCCUCCAGGUCGAAGCGUUGCUCGGUGACCGGGUGCUGCACGAAGGAUGUGCACUACAGCUAGAUCCACACUCCCCUGGAUCACACAGUUCUUGUGAAGAAAGAAGGCGGCAAUACCAGGAGCAGGCCUCCCGCCUGGGAGAUGCCCACCCCGCCCAGACGCAGGUCACCACAGCUGCCGGGCACAGAUCCUGGGAGCAAGCCGAUUCUCAGAACCACUCAGAAGUGAGUCCUGGUCCUUUUGUCCUAAGGGACAGCGCCAUGCCAGACGUCAGCCAAGGUGUGGCCUGACUUUCAAAAC